rnacentral:lncRNA from 1 species
UCACCGGCGUAUUUUAUAUGCGGCGUCUUUGAAAUAUUCAUGUUGGCACAGUCCGUGGAUUCAGCCACAUUCGAGCUUUCGCACAUUUCGUUCUUUACCCUAACUAGUGUUGGCUCGCGACUGCAGCCAACUGCAGUGGACACGGUGACGGGCGCAGCAAGCAUGACGUGUGGGAGCUACUGUACGCGCAUGUCUCAUUGCUGACGCAACGCGGAACAAAGAAAGAACCCUAAGCAACGAGAAUAUAUCCGCGACCUUGUCUCCUGAAGCUGAAGCAGAACGGGCAACAGUUUGACAACGAAUACCCUUGGUAGCAGGAAUUGUAUAGCUGUACUAUGAAGCCCCCUCUGUAUGAGAUGUUUUCACCGAACAACUGUUGUGUAAUAAAGGCUCUUCGUGUUGAACACCACCUAGUUUCAAUUGGGUGACCAUUUACUAUUAACUGGAUUGCCUGUUGAACACCAGUUCACUUUAACUGGUUACCCAUUUGGACACCGGUUAGCUUCAAUUGGAUUACCACAUCUAUUCAAUUGGUUAACCAAUUAAACACCACCUAGUUUCAAUUGGGUGACCAGUUACGAUUAACUGGAUUACCAGUUGAACACCAAUUCAGUUUAACUGGUUACCCAUUUGGGCACCAGUUAGCUUCAAUUGGAUGACCAUGCGUGUUCAAGUGGUUGACCAAUUAAACACCACCUAGUUUCAAUUGGGUGACCAUUUACUAUUAACUGGAUUACCAGUUGAACACCAAUUCACUUUAACUGGUUACCCAUUUGGGCACCAGUUAGCUUCAAUUGGAUGACCAUGCGUGUUCAAGUGGUUGACCAAUUGGACCCGUCUAUGUCAACUGGUCAACCAAUUACCACUAGCUCUACCCAAAUGGUUUACCGAUUGGAUAUGAACUGGUUUACCAAUUGGAUGUAAUUGGUGCGUUCCAAUGGGUGGCGAAAUUCCAAUUGGUCGAAAACCA